AACGAACGCUGGCGGCAGGCCUAACACAUGCAAGUCGAACGCUCUAGCAAUAGAGAGUGGCAGACGGGUGAGUAACGCGUGGGAACCUUCCCUGUGGUGCGGAAUAACUCGCCGAAAGGCGUGCUAAUACCGCAUAAGCCCGCAAGGGGAAAGAUUUAUCGCCAUAGGAUGGGCCCGCGUAGGAUUAGCUAGUUGGUGAGGUAAUGGCUCACCAAGGCGACGAUCCUAGCUGGUUUGAGAGAAUGACCAGCCACACUGGACUGAGACACGGCCCAGACUCCUACGGGAGGCAGCAGUGGGGAAUCUUGGACAAUGGGCGCAAGCCUGAUCCAGCCAUGCCGCGUGAGUGACGAA
rnacentral:rRNA from 1 species